rnacentral:rRNA from 1 species
GACGAACGCUGGCGGCGUGCUUUACACAUGCAAGUCGAACGGAAAGGUCCUGCUUUUGUGGGGUGCUCGAGUGGCGCACGGGUGCGUAACACGUGAGUAACCUGCCCUUGACUUUGGGAUAACUUCAGGAAACUGGGGCUAAUACUGGAUAGGUGCUCCUGCUGCAUGGUGGGGGUUGGAACUUUUCGGUGGUUUGGGAUGGACUUGCGUCUUAUCAGCUUGUUGGUGGGGUAGUGGCUUACCAAGGCUUUGACGGGUAGCCGGACUGAGAGGGUGACCGGCCACAUGGGGACUGAGAUUCAGCCAAGACUACUACGGGAGGCAGCAGGGGGGAAUAUUGCACGAUGGGCGGAAGCCUGAUGCAGCAACGACGCGUGCGGGAUGACGGCCUUCGGGUUGUAAACCGCUUUCGCCUGUGACGAAGCGUGAGUGACGGUAAUGGGUAAAGAAGCACCGGCUAACUACGUG